UCUUAAUCCUUAUAUUUAUGUUGAACACCAUUCAUCAACAUUUAUUUCUUUUUUUCCCCCUCAAUUUAUGGUGAAGACAUUGAGUUAGGAGCUUAUGGAAUUUUUAAAGGGAUUUCUUCCUCUUUUUUAACUUCUCAGCUUUCGUAUAUAGUUCUGUAAAUGGUCUUAUUAGAAGUGUUUUGUUGAUAGAUAUAUUUCAGAGAUUGGCCUGCCUUGUUAGGUGGGUUGAUUACACAUUUCUAUUUCUUCUUGUAAGGAUACCAUAUUCUUUACAUACUUCAUUCUUUUUUUUCUGAUUCUCUUCAUGAAAGUUGUUCCUGAUAAGAAAAUUGAUGAAAAAACCACUCAAAUUCAUAUAUCUCAUCUUAUAAGUACUUUUAGUUCUCUAAAAUUAGCAAGUAAGGACUCUGACAAAGAGUCAAAAGUGUUUGUUUGCAAUUGAUAGACAACUUGCAUGUCAAGAGUGAGGGAGAAACAUAGGAGAAAGAAAUGUUACGAUUCGAAAACCAUUUAUGAAGGACAAAGAAUGAGAAGAUUCUAGCUUGAAUGCAGUGGAAAUAAGCCUUGAAUUGUUGCUCUAUUUAGUCAUAUUUUUGACACGUUAAUUGACAAAAUAGAAAGUGGAAUAAAUAAUUUACUUUGCUCCAACUUUAGAAUUUUCUAAUUGGCAAGAUUAGAGCACUCUAUAUGUAUGACUUGUUUAGGAAAAUUUUCUAUUAAGUGUUGUACACUUGUACUUGCUUGUUUUUAUAUUAUGACUUGAUUUAGAUGUCACUGACAGGGAGAAAUCAUUUCUUCAUGCUGUAAAAUAGCAGCGAAUCAUAUUGGAUGAAGUGAGUUUUGAUAGCAUACUAUGAUCAAGAUUAAUGGAACUAUUUUACUUCUAUAAUUUUAACUUUCUAAUUUUCAUAAGAUGUUUUCUAAUGAAAUAGUUAUUUUGUACCUUUCCCUUUUUCCCUUAUUUCCACACAUGUGAGGGUGUUUUCUUUAUUGUUUGAAUAUCUCCAAGCAAAGUUUUAAUCUGCUAUCUCCUACUUAUGGUUACAGUUUAUUUUGUUUUAUUUUAAAGCUAAUGACUUGUUACUUAAUGUAAGACCCAGAAUUUUUGAAAAGGUUUAUUGAAAACUAAUUUCAAAUUCGAUUAUUUAUUUCUAACUUUAAUUUCAGAAAUUACUUUAUUAAAAAAUAUUUAAAGCAAGUUUUGAUUAAUUGAAUUUGAAAUAAAUUAAGAUCCUUAUCCAAUUAUACAAUUAUUGAAUUAUUUUUUUUAUAUUUGGAUUAUAAAGUGGUAGUUAUGAAAUAAUAAGAAUUUUAAGUUUUAAAAAUAAAGAAAAUUAAUCUUAUGAUCUUAUAAUUUCAAUUAAAAUAUUCGAUUUUAAAUUAAUUAGUAUUUCGAUACAAUAAAUAAUGUUUUUGAAGUAAUUUUAAGUAUUUAAUUAGAAUUCAAAUUAAUAUCCUAUGCCCUAAUUUUAUUAAAAUUACCAUACUCUAAUAAAACCCAAAAUCCCCAAAUUAAAACCCUAAUUUUUUUUACCUAACCCUAGCUACCCCAACCCACACACAUAACACACACAACCAGUACCCUCCGUCACUCUUCCUCACCCUCUCAACACACACACACACCCAAAGAAAGAAAGGAAACAGAGGGAACAGGGAGAGCAGAGGGGAAGGGAGAUCGGUGAAGGAAAAUAAAAGAGGGAGGAGCUGCGCCACCACUGUCGGCCUUAGGCUCGGCAUUUAAGCCUGUAGCGUCACCGCCCAACCGCGUCCAGCCCACCACCCGUCACUGCCAUCGUGUGUUGCCAUUGAAGGAGGAGGAGCGCGAACCAGAUCCGCGAGGAGAGGGAGUCGUGCCGCUGUCCCUACGCCGUCGCGGAUUAGAUCUGAGGCGAGGGAGAGGACCGCGUUGGAGGAAGGAGUCGCGCUACCCAGUUGCCGUCUGUGGGGAGUUAUCGCCAGUCUGCACGCCACCAACUUCGCCGGCGUUGUCACAAAAAGGAGAGAGAGCCACGUAGGAGGAGAACAAUCGUCGCGGAGCUGUCUCUGCCACUGCGCCCAGCUGCUGUUGCGAGCCUCAUCGCCGCUAAGGGGGGUGCGUUACCAAGCUCCUACUGUCGGAGAACCCCGCUGCGGUCACUGAUGACCACUGCCAUCGCUGUCGCCAGAGUUCUUGUCACCGUUGUAGUUUGGGAUGGCUGUCGAGGCUGCUGUUAGAUCAAUUCAAAGACCGUUGCUGUUUCGUUUUUCUUAUUUUGGGUCAUGUUCUGAGCAAUGCAUGUCGCUUUUAAGUUGCUUUGAGUGCUGUGAAAGUGAUCAGGGACUAAGUUUGUGGUUGCUGUUGGUUUCGAGUUGAGAGAAAAGGUUUCCUUGGCACGUUUUAGGUUAUGGUUUCGACUUGUCGAGGUAGGGGCUGUCUAUAAAAACUAAUUCAUUUAAAGUUGGAAUUAUUAUAAAUAGAUAUGAUGUGCAAAAAGCAUUUCUGGUGAUUAUGUAAGUCUUAUGAAUUGUCUGAUUUGUAUUGUAUAAAUAUGGUUGUCUAUUUGUUUGAAAUAAUGUCUGAUUUUGUACAAAAUGGAGGUUUUUGUUGUUUUGAAUUGAAAGGAUUUUAGUAUUUGAAGUCUGAAUUUUACUUAUUGGAAACUAAUUUAGUCUUGAAUCCCUUGUAAAAGAGUUGAGGAUUGGUUUGGUUGGGACUCGAAAAGGGUGACAAAGUCUAUGUUUUAAGGGAGAUGCUGCCGAAAUUUCUAUAAAAUCUGAGAUUUUGCUCGAAGCAUUAUUUCAAAAAUAAUGAAUUAUGCUUUGAAUUGAAUGUCUGAUAAAUGAAUUAUAUUUGAACUUAUCUUAUUAAGAAAA